rnacentral:lncRNA from 1 species
GAGCGAAAUUAGAGUGUUUGAAAGAAUUUAUACAAAAAAAACAUGCUCGAACACAAAAAAUUAAGCGACUUAGUCUUUAUGUACUAUAAUCUGCGUUUAAAGCAUACUUAUGUCUUAGUAUUUAUGUUGCACAACUUGUUAAUAUUGCAUGAAACAUAAUAUAAUAAACUAUUUUUUCGAUUUGGCAGAUCCACGCAUUAGAAAUUUGACGAACGUAGACAAUUCCAUUAUCUGAAUCCUUCAUUUGUAAUACACGGUUCAUUACCUACACAAUGAGAAAACCUUUCCAGCUUCUCGGUGCGGCGGCCAAACUGCAACAACCUUAGCCUUGGGAUCGAAUUCAAUCUCGGACGGACUUGGGAGGAAGCUCUCAUCGAAUCAAUCCAUGAAUUUUGUCCUCGUUCCUUCGUCGUUGAUUUCCAGAUUCCCGAACAGGAGCUUCUUCUUCGUCGCCAUCGAAAUCGAGGAAGAUUUUGACUCUGAGAUUUGAAACAAAUGAGUUAGGUUGAUCCUGAAUUUCG